UUGGGUUUCAAUCUUUCCUAUUUCCUGAGGUGAUUAGGAAAUUGAAUUAAGCAGUUCUGUAAGCUGCAGAUUUCUGGAACUAGGCCUUUUAAAGUUUUAUAUGGUUCACAGAAGGCUUUUCUUGCAAAAAGUAGGUUUCAAGAUUUAUAUUACUUGAAUGAUAGUUGAAGGACAUAUGUUGGAAAGGUUUUAAUGGCGGCAGGAAGUGAAUUGGUGUUGAGAAAGGCAGGCAGUUGCAGUCUGAAAGAAGAGAUGGCCAAGGUGACGCUCCAUAGUAUCCGGAAUCAGGGGCAUCCAUACGUCGAGCUAAGGGAAAAUGGGAAACGGUUCAUCUUUUUUUGCACGUUGUGUCUCUCCCCCUGUUACGGUGAAACCACGCUACUCAAUCAUCUUAAAGGAAACCUUCAUGCUCAAAGGUAUGCCGAUGCGAAACUUACCCUCUUUGGAUCCACACCCUGGCCUUUUAAUGAUGGCAUCUUUUUCUUCCGUCAAUCAUCUGAAAAAGACCAAUGGCAGUUAACAGUAUUGAAUUCUAACCAUGAUAGGAUUUCAAUUGCUAACAGUGACAACUCUGGAACUAUUAUGAGUCAACGGACAUGACAAUACUUUGGAAGCUGAUAGCAGCGAUGGAAUUGGGCUUAAUGGGAAUAAUGGAAGCGUCAAUUUGAAACCCAAAGACAUUAUUCUUGGACUUUCUUAUAAUGCUUGUGAUAAAAUUGUGAAUAAAGCUCAUAUGAUAAAAUUCUUGGACUCUGCAUUUCUAUCAAGCAGUGGAACAGAAUAAAGCUUAACCUAAAGCUCAUAUGACACGUUAGACUCAUUAGUCUCAUAUGAAACAUUAGUUUCACUACUUUGCAAUCUACUCAAAAGUAACAGGUAGAUGACUUGGAUAUUGUUUUGGAUAUUGUUUAGUGGAAUUCAUUCUUUUAUUUGUUAUCCAAACCCUUUUUUCUUUUUUCAGGCCAUUUGCUCAUUCAAUCUCGCUAGUGUUUUUUUUCUUCUUUGAAUUGUAUAUUAAUUUUCAUUUUUGAAUUUUUGUGUAACUUUCAGGGAUGGAUUUGGACUGUGAAUUUAGCCCUCUCAACUGAAGAAAAGUGAGGUCACCAUGAGGUCAUUGGAAUUUGGAAUGUAUUUCAAGCAAGGGAUAGCUGAGGCAACAAAAGAGCUUUGACUGAGUAGACCUGGUCACAUCAAGUUGUGUGAGUUUCAAAUUGAGCCACUUAGCUUUAAAAUUAUGGCAAAUGAAAAUUCAGUCUUUUAUAAAUGUUACCAACCAUAGUGUAGCACCUCUUCUUAUGUAUGUUGAACAUCUAAACCAUUCAUUAAGUAAGCCUCACUGCGCAUACCAUAAUUCUAAAACUUGGUGGCUUGACUCAAAACUCACCCAAGUCAACUCGGCUAGAGAAGAUUUCGAGCCAAGACUCUUGGAAACUUGCUGACAAGCGUAACUCACCCAAGUCAACUCAGGAAUUUUACUUUGUUUUAAAGAUCAUGGAAUUUUUAACUAUGAUGGAUAAUUCCUUUGGAUGCUCUGUGUCGGGGGAGUUCCUGGUGUCCGCUGUGAGAGACGGGGAUCUUCAAGAAGCCAAGGCUCUCUUGGAAUAUAAUCCUCGCCUUGCAAGGUACUCGACUCUCAGCAUUCGUAAUUCUCCUCUCCAUUAUUCUGCAGCGCAGGGCCACUACGAGGUGAUUCAUUUACUUUUUGUUUCCCAUUUGAUCCCGACUGGUUAUUAAAUUCAUGAGCCUUUGUAGAUUUUCUAAACUGAUUGUGUUGGCCUUUUCCUUUAGAUUGUUUCUCGAUUGGUUGAGGGUGGCGUUGAUGUUAAUCUUAGGAAUUAUCAUGGGAAGGGACCAGCAAGACAGAUUCUAACAAGCAAACAGAAGAUCCAUCUUUCAUUUUUAUGUGGGCUGAAGGUUUUUAGAGAUAUCAACUCACUUGAGAAGGAGUGGCAUGGACUGCAAAUCCAUUAACGAUGUGAUUUUGAAAGAAAGAUAAAUUAGUAGAUCCAAUUCCACUUUUAUGCAGGUGAGCGUAAUUCUGAUGUAUUCAUGGCUUUUCAAAUGACAUUCUCCAUUUAUUUAUUUUCUACUUUGAAAUGGUGUUUGUAUUUUGAUUAUUAUUGUUAUUAUUUUCUUAAAGCAAUUUCUUCAUGGGUGUUGAGUUUUUGUGAAGUGUAGAAUGCUUUUAUUGUGAAAUUAGAUGCAUAAACUGGAUCUCAAAGAGAAGAAGCUGUAUUGGAUUUUCUUUAAUUUUGCAGUUGAGGUAAGCCUUGCUGUUUCUUGGAUUUUUAAACAGGGAGAUUUCUAACCUGGUACAGGACAUGAAUUUCGUUCCUGUGUGUGGCUCAAGAAUGGGAUACCUUGCACAAUGAUCCGGUGAUCCUUGCAGUUCACUAUGUUAUAAGAUGCAAAGGUCAUAAUACUGAGGUCAUGGUUUUUUCCUCACUGCAUUAUGUUAUAAUAUCUGUACUUUUUCGUUCUUUGAGAGAAUUUUGAGUGGAAAUGGAAUCGCUAUGGGCACCCUGGAACUCCAUUACUUCUGCACUAGUCUUACUUAAGUGAUAAUGGCCAUGCAUCCAUGUGUUCUUUUAGCUGUGGUUUGAGCAUGGUAGGCCAGCAGUUGUAUCUUGGAACAGAAGGCUCCAAUUUAUCCAGCUCCAGAUAAUGGUGACAUGCUGGUGAGGUAAAAUAGAUCAUUUUAAAUUCUAUAACACAUGGCUAUAUCGUGACUGCGAGUUGAUAAGGCUUGGACUCUGAUUUCUCCUUUCUUUUCCAUAGUAAUGAUUUUUUAUUUUUUUUGGAGUUCUUCUUUGUUUCUGCAAUGGUAUGCUGAUUUCUCUUAAGUCGACAUCCUGAUGGUUUAAGUGUUUGGAACUGCGGCUGGUGUUUUCUCUCGAGUUCUCGUCAUGUUUAGGAAUUGGGCUCCAUGAGCUGGUCGUGUUGGGGGUCUUACUAUCCAGGGGACCGUUUUUGUACAGCUGCUAUUUCUUUUAGUUCCUUUUCGUUCUCUUUUGUUGUAUUUUCUUUUCUUUUGGUAGUCUGCUCUCUCUCUCUCUCUCUCUCUCUCUCUCUCUCUCUCUCUUGUUUUGCUCAGGCUGGUGCUAAACAUGUUUAUGCGGUGGAGGCAUUUGAAAUGGCAGAAUAUGCACGCAGGCUUAUUGCUGGGAAUCCAUCAUUGAGAAAACGGAUUACGGUGAUCGAAGGUAAAGUUGAGGAUGUUGAAUUGCCUGAGAAAGCAGGCAUUCUAAUUUCUGGGGCUAUAUGAUUCAGAAGGGUGUUGUAGGGAGCACAGAUCCAUUGCCAAAAUAUCAGAUCUUAGGCAACAUGAU